rnacentral:rRNA from 1 species
UGUUUAACGGCCGCGGUAUUUUAACCGCGCGAAGGUAGCGUAAUCACUUGUCUUUUAAAUGGAGACCUGUAUGAAUGGCAUAACGAGGGUCUGACUGUCUCCUACACCUAGUCAAUGAAAUUGAUCUGCCCGUGCAGAAGCGGGCAUACCUACAUAAGACGAGAAGACCCUAUGGAGCUUUAGGUAAAUGAUCAAGCGAAACAAGUCACGGCCAUAGUAAAGGCCUAGAAAAACAAGAACUAAUGAUCAAGAUGCCUUCGGUUGGGGCGACCGUGGAGGAAACAAAAGCCUCCAAGUGGAAAGGGAAAACCCUUGAACUAAGAGAGACACCUCGAAGUAACAGAAUUUGUGACCAAAUAUGACCCAGGAUUUUAACCUGAUCAACGAACCCAGUUACCCUAGGGAUAACAGCGCAAUCCUCUCCCAGAGUCCCUAUCGACGAGGGGGUUUACGACCUCGAUGUUGGAUCAGGGCAUCCUAAUGGUGCAGCCGCUAUUAAGGGUUCGUUUGUUCAACGAUUAA